rnacentral:lncRNA from 1 species
CCAGACCCUGCGUAAAGCGGGAGCCUUGUGCACUGGGUACGACAUUUUUUUAUGUUUUCGUAUUGAAAAAUGGCACAUUUUGAACUUUCGCAUUGGGCACCAAAAAACCCAGAACAGGCCCUGCUAUUUAGUGUUCAAGGAAGUUGGGUUUUGCUGGGCUCCUUCGACUUGGUGUUGAAGUUCUAAAAUUGCACAGGUUGCAGACUGAAGGUAGAAGCUUCAACGGUGAGAGCUAGUGAAGGUUGUGGCGUGUUAACUCGGCGUUUUUGUUGAAGACAGAUCGGUCAAUUUUUGGGACGACAAAGUCUUGGGCAUGGCCUGAGCAUGAAAGAGUGAAGCGUAUACCCUUGUGGGUGUGUAAGCUCGUGGUGUUUUACUGUGUAAGUGGAUAAAUGAAGAAAGUGGGCUGCGGUUGAAGCUGCGUGUUUGAAGGUCUGCGAGUUGCAUGUUGCGAUUGGGUUGUGCUUUGCGGGUUGCAGAAGCUAAAUAAGGUCUUCAUGUGUGUCUGAAUGAGGCAAAAGCUAGAGUAAUUAGCUUCAUUGGUGGCACAAGGAGAAACAUUGGACUAGACUUGAAGCUUAUGUUGCAGUUGCGGAGGGAGAGCCACUAGUCGUGGGCUCAAGGCGCAGGCUGCAGAAGUGGGUCUGCAAAGUGCUGCUGCGGGUUGAAGAAAUAAAGAGAGACAGAGUACCCAUCUUCAAUUUAUGUAACAGAAACUCCUUUUUUUUUUUCAAUGGGGAAAUUAAUCUUCCUCCAUUUUUGGUGGCGGGUAGGAGCUUCAUCCUAACUUAGAGGUAAGGUUGACGCCUCAUCUGUGACUUCACUAGAAAAUCCUACAAGCAGGCUGGUUCAGAGCAUCUGCCCAUGCCUAUCCCACUUCAAAUCAACAAACCACCACACCUGUGAGGCAUCAGUGAGAUCAAGCGCUUGCAGAAACACGACGAGUUGUUGCACAGACCAGUCGUGAAUUUGUUGUUGUCUGAUUUUGAUUUUGAUGAGAGCAGUAGCAGAGGGAUUAUGCAGAGAUGGAGACAAAGCUCCCAUUACUAUUUUUGUUUGAUGAGGAUUGUAGCUGAAUAAUAAAAACUGAAAAUUUGGUAUUACCCCUUGAAACUAUAUUUUCCUCUACUAAAACCCAUCUUUUUUUGUUUUCUUGAAUAAAGCUCAUUGACUAGUUUUCAACUAAACAAAUUCUCUAAUUAAGUUUGACUUUUCAAAUUGUGUAUUUUUCAAAUGCCUAAACUACCCCUAUUAAUACUUGGAUGGGUUUUUGAAUCAGUUACUUGUUAUAUCCGUUUAAUUAAUUUUAUAUAUUUUACAAAAUAAUUCAUGUCAUUCAUUGUAUAUUCAAUGUAUUAAAUUGUUAUAACGUGCCAAUUAAAAAAUAAUAAUACUAAUUCAUAAUUUUGUGCAUUAAGGGUGCGUUUGUUGCACCGAACUAUCUCGGACUAGACUAGCUUAAAGGACUAAGCUGGAUUGGCUUAGACUAGACUAAUUUGGACUAACUUAAUAAAACGUUUGUUGCAAUGUCGGACUAAGAAGUUGGACUAACAAUAAAUUAUUAUUAUUAUAUUUUAAUUUCUUUUCUAUUAAAAAUAUCAAUAUGUAAAAAAUGGCAUCUUCUUCGCAAAUUGUUGGUGCUCCUUUGCACCUUGGAAAUUGCAGAACUUCCAAUAACAAAUGCUUAACCCAAACUCCUGAUAAGUAAAAAAUCAUUCAAUUUGGUAUCCUAGAAAAAUCAUAACUAAUUGAAAUCAUUCAAAACUUGAUCAACCAGUCCAUUCGUAGAAUCCAGAAAUCGUUCAAUUUGAUCAGAACGAAAUGGUAUCCCAAAAAACUCACAAAUCCAACCUCCCUUCACAAACCAAAAGCAAUGAAUUCACAUAAUCUAUCAAAUGUUCCGAAACUUUAAAGAACAGAACAAAUAAAAAAUAAAAAAAUAAAAACAUAUAAAAGAGAGGAAGAAAGCAAAGCACCCAGCCCAGAACCCAAUCAACUUCUGGAAACCCUCCAUAGUUAUUUUUGAUGCACAAAACUGGAGGUCUUGGAACAACGUAAAUCCGACCGUGAAUCUGCAAUAAAUGUAAAUAACACAAGAUGUAUCAUGGUUCACCCCAAGGUUUGGGCUACGUCCACACUGAUUAUGUAUUUAUCUAAGGGAGAGAGAGCUCUGAGAGUGAGAGCCUUGAGAGGGGGUGAGAGGGCCUAGGAAUUGGCCUCUCCUAAUUAUGAGGGUGAGGGGUCAUUUUAUAGAAUAAGGACUCCUUACUUAUUACAUAUUUUCCCCUUCCUUUAUCACAUAAUUACAUUUAAGUCCCCCGAGUAUUUGUACGAGAUCUAAAUACGAGGCCCUAAAUAUGGUAUAAACAGUUAUAAUCCUUCGUAAGGAAAAUUAAAUCCUAGAAAAAUUAAAUCAUUCAAGCUCACUUGUUUAUGCAGGACCAGAAAUUCGAUCUGAAACCUUAAAUCGACGGAGUUCUCUUGAAUUGUAAAUGGAGAACGUGGGUUCUCUGAUUAAAGGUCGAAUAUGAGGCCUCGUUCAUGAUCUAGCCUCAGGGUGAGGAGAGAGAGAGAGAUUGGUGGUGGUUUGGACAUGCGGUGUGAUCUUGCUAUAGUUUGGUGAGUGUAGGACGCGAUGCUAAGAAGAAAGCAGAGAAGGACGCGACGCGAAGAAGAAGAACGCAACGAGGGUCUUAGCUAUCCCAUGGUAUUUAGGGGGUCUCGCUAAGACCCUUUAGUGAGAGAGUUAGUGAAUACGAGUCCCCUUUAAUCCCAUUAAACUUAGUCCCACUAUGUAACAAACACAUGACUGCACUGAUGAGUAGUCCAGUCUAGUCCAGUGAAGGCUAAUGAAGCCAAACAAAUGCCCCCUAAAUAUAUAAGUUAAUUUACCUACCCACACAACAAUAAACCUAAAACAACUUUGGCUAAUACUCCAAUCCCUUAUACACAAAACAAAAGUUAUAUGUUCCGCUCAAUUUUUACCUACAAAAUAGUCUAAUUUACCUAUUCCAUCAAACCAAAAUUUAAAGGGUCUAAUUUACUUCCAAAAUGGUCUAAUUUACCUACAUGAUUUAUGUGCAUUAGAUUAAAAGUUUAUUUAAUUGCCUACAAGCACAAACCCACAACAUUCGAACAUUAUCUAAUAUCACUAAUUUUUUAAGCUAACCAUAUGACCUCAUAAAUUGAUUUUGCUUAAACACUCUUGAGCAAGAAUGUGGGAGGCAAUUUACGUGUUGUAGUUGUUGAAGGUUUGUAAAAUCAUAUAAUAUGAUUUUGUUUUCCCACUCUUGUCAGACCCCAAUAAUUUAUUAGCAAAGAAGAGAAGUAUUUGGAAACAUUUAUCGAAAAGGUCUUUGUAUGAAGGAACCAAAAAUUAUUAUGAGCUCGUAGCAUUUUUGAAAUACAUUUCGGAGUUCGCAUGAAUUUAGAAUUUACAGCUGGACCAAUGAAUUGAUGACACAUGGCAGCAAUUGAGAGGCUAAGUUUGCCACGUGGGAUUAGCCAACAUGCCAGUACAAAGACAUUCGUCAUGUUAGUAGUAUACUGGGUGGCAAGUGAUUGGAUAAGGUAGCCAAAUUCUAAACAAAUAUAAGCUGGAGGUGGCAUUGAAAUUGCAUACAAUGGACACGUGUGUAUGACUCAUGAAAUUUUAGCAAGAGCUGUUGAUAUAAGGACUUUGGUUAUCCAAUUAGAGCCAAAGCUGUCAUGGGCCACCCAUUUGAACCAAUCAGAGUACUCUUUUGGCCGCCAUAUUACUAGCAUAAGUAGGAGCAGCUCCUCUUGUUUUAGGGAGAACCGCAGCAUGCAAUGAGAAGUAUGUUGUGCAUGCAAUAAGAGUUAAUGUAGAGAUUAUAUAUAUAGGGAGAUUAGGAAAGAAAAGAGAGUGGAAGAAAUAUAUGGUGAUUAGGCUUGAUCAAGGAGCUUGCUCAAGUAUGUGAAACUCAGUUAUUUUGGUAGUGACGUGAAUAAGUACGUGGAGCUUAGCUAUUCCGGUAGUGACGUAGAUCUUUGUUUUAUCUUUGGAAUCCAGGUAGGAGAAAUACGGCAGACCUUUACGGAAUUUUAUUUUAUUAAAUUUCGUGAAGUGUUAUAAUAUUUUUGAUCUUUUUGGUUGAUUAAUGUGGUUGGAUUUUAAUUGGCUAAUUAUUUCAGUUAAGUGUUUACUUGUUAUUGGUUAUGGAAUUAUUGCUGGAAUGCUAUUCAUUGAGAAUAUACUGUGAUAUAUGUGAAAGAUGAAAUGACAUUAUUUGUGCAUCACUCAUAUUGUGAGAUGUGGUUGGAAUUUUAGUGUUGAGAUUGGAAUUCGGGAAAUGAGGGUAGUUAGAAAUGAUCUUUUGUGUAGUUGAAUCUAUUCAUUGUGAAACUAGUUCCAAGUGAGCCCGAUGUGCACAUUAGAAUAGGAUAUCGGCGAGAUAAUUGUCGAUGUGGGUGGUUUGGGUUAGAGAUCAAUGAAUUAGAUAAGAUGACUAGCAAAAUGGGUUUAUGAACUUGGGAUAUCGUAUGAGGGUUAGUUUCUAUAAUAGAAUAUUCGAACCACCACUCCAUUGGUAAAAUGCAUGGUAUGAGACGUGCAGGUUUGCGUGUUUUAUUAUAUAAAUUUAUGGGGAUAGCCGAAGAGGUUGGACUGCAUUCAUGCAUUGUUAUCAAUAAUAAUUUGAUAUAUGGCUAUAUGAUUUCAUGACACUUUAUUUAACAUUGUUAAUUUAUUGUGGUAAGGUUAUGUCCCUAUUGAGCUAUUGAAGCUCACCCUUCUAUUGUUAUGCAGGUUUACAAACUAGAUAUUCAAGAGGGUAGGCAUGAUGAGAUCAGAUUAGAUAUGAGAAUAGAAUGUGGGAAGUGUUAUUGGCACUCCAAAAAUCUCAUUCUACACUCCUCACAAGUGUAUUUUUCUUUCCAAAUGUAGAAAGUUUGGAAUGUAGAAUGAGAUUUUUGGAGUGCCAAUAACAAUUCCCUAGAAUGUUUAUUCAUCUAUUUAUUGUAGGUUGUAGAUAAUUCUUGAUUUCUUUAAGAAUCAUGAAUUAUUUUUAUAAGAAGAAAUAUAUUUUCCAGGCGAUUUCAAUUUCUUUUUAUUUAUUGAGCUUUUAACUCACGUUUCGGAUUUGGGUUCGAGUUUUUAUUGCUGACCUGGGUCUAGGCCUGGCAAACGGGUCGUGUCAGUCGUGUUCGUGUAACACCUAUUAUCUUAACGGGUCGUGUCGUGUCACACCUGUUAUCUUAACGGGUCCUUAACAGGUCGUGUCACUUUACCCAACGGGUAAAGUGACCCGACCCGUUAUGACCCGUUAAGAAAAAUAUUUUUUUUUCUUAAAUUUGCACAUACCACACAUUGCCACAUAAAUAUUACUUCAAAACAUUAAAACACAUUUGUCGUUUAAGUACUACGUCUACACUCGAAAAUAAGAGCCUAAUAAAAAAAUAAUACAUACACUACUAAUCUAUUACAAAUUUUAAAUGUG